rnacentral:tRNA from 1 species
GUAUACAUAGUAUAAUAAAUAUGUUGGGUUUAGGACCUAGAGAUUAUUGUAUACU